AUCACAAUCCCAAAUCUACAAUAUUUAUCUACAAAAUGAUAACUUUCCAAAUAUAGCAGUUUUUAAAAAAUUACCAUAAAGAUAUAACGUAUUGAUCAAAAAUUCUAAAAGCAUGCUCAUUUAUCAACAAAAACUCUUGUUAUCAUAAAUUCUAAAUCACAAUCUCAAAUCUACAAUAUUUCCCUACAAAAUGAUAACUUUCUAAAAAUAGUAGGUUUUGAUAACUUUCUAAAAAUAGCAGGUUUUGAAAAAAAUAUUUAAAAAUUAUAACCUAUAGAUCAAAAAUUCUCAAAGCAUACCCUUCUAUCAAUAAAAACUCUUGUUUUCCAAAUUUUUAAAUCACAAUUUCAAAUCCACAAUAUUUAUCUACAAAAUGAUAACAUUCCAAAUAUAGCAGUUUUUUUAAAAAAAAUUUAAAAAUAUAGUAUAUCUAUCAACAAAAACUCUUGUUACCCUAGUUUCUAAAUCACAUUCUCAAAUCUACAAUAUUUCUUUACAAAAUUAUAAUUUUCUAAAAAUAAAGGUUUUAGAAAUUUAUUUAAAAAUUGUAAUCUAUUGAUCAAAAAUUCUAAAACCAUACCCAUCUAUAACCAAAAACUCUUGUUACCCAGAUUUCUAAAUCACAAUCCAAAAUCUACAAUAUUUCUCUACAAAAUUAUAAUUUUCCAAAAAUAGAAAAUUUUGGAAAAUUUGUUUAAAAAUUAUAACCUACUGAUCAAAAAUUCUAAACGCAUACUCAUAUAUCAACAAAAACUUUUGUUAUCCUAAUUUCCAAAUCAAAAUCCCAAAUAUACAAUAUCUCUCUACAUAAUUAUAAUUUUCCAAAAAUAGCGAGUUUUGGAAAAUUUAUUUAAAAAUUAAAACCUAUUGAUCAAAAAUUCUAAAACCAUACCCAUCUAUCAACAAAAAUUCUUGUUAUCCUAAUUUCUAAAUCACAAUCCUGAAUAUUCAAUAUUUCUCUACAAAAUGAUAAUUUUCCAAAAAUAGCAGUUCUUUGAAAUUUUAUUUUUAAAAUAUAACCUAAUAAUCAAAAAUUCUAAAUCUACGAUAUUUAUCAACAAAAUUACAAUUUUCCAAAAAUAGUAGGUUUUGGAAAAUUUAUUUUAAAAUUAUAACAUAUUGAUCAAAAAUUCCAAAAACAUGCCCAUCUAUCAACAAUAAUUCUUUUUAUUUUAUUUCUAAAUCACAACCCCCAAAUCUACAAUAUUUAUCUACAAAAUGAUAACUUUCCAAAUGUAGAAGUUUUUAAAAAAAAAUUCUUAAAGAUAUAACGUAUUGAUCAAAAAUUCUAAAAGCACGCCCAUUUAUCAACAAAAAAUUUUGUUAUCCAAAUUUCAAAAUCACAAUCUCAAAUCUACAAUAUUUACCUACAAAAUGAUAAUUUUCUAAAAAUAGCAGGUUUUGGAAAAAUUAUUUAAAAAUUAUAACAUGUAGAUCAAAAAUUC
rnacentral:lncRNA from 1 species